AGCAGUGGGGAAUUUUGGACAAUGGGCGCAAGCCUGAUCCAGCAAUGCCGCGUGAGUGAAGAAGGCCUUCGGGUUGUAAAGCUCUUUUGUCAGGGAAGAAACGGUGAAGGCUAAUAUCCUUUGCUAAUGACGGUACCUGAAGAAUAAGCACCGGCUAACUACGUGCCAGCAGCCGCGGUAAUACGUAGGGUGCAAGCGUUAAUCGGAAUUACUGGGCGUAAAGCGUGCGCAGGCGGUUUUGUAAGUUUGUCGUGAAAGCCCCGGGCUCAACCUGGGAAUUGCGAUGAAGACUGCAAGGCUUGAAUCUGGCAGAGGGGGGUAGAAUUCCACGUGUAGCAGUGAAAUGCGUAGAGAUGUGGAGGAACACCGAUGGCGAAGCAGCCCCCUGGGUCAGAUUGACGCUCAUG
rnacentral:rRNA from 1 species